rnacentral:lncRNA from 1 species
GCAUGGAUAGAGAUUCAGCAGUAAGAGAGCUGCAGCAGAAGCAGACUGAGAACUAUGAACAAAGAAUACGCGAGCAACAGGAACAGCUGUCAUUUCAACAAACUCUCAUUGACAGGCUAAAGUCACAGCUACGUCUUGUGGAUUCUAGUCGAGAUAACACUUGUGACUAUGUACCUUUGCUUGAAGACAGUGACAGAAGGAAGAAUAAUUUGACCCUUGAUGAACCACAUGAUAAAGUGAAACUAGGAACACUGAGAGAUAAGCAAUCAAAGCUUAUGUCCAAAGAAUUAACAAUGCUGCACCAAUUGCACUGUGUUUGUGGACAGACCAUGGACAAGGGCUAAAGAAAUAAGCUCUGGGUAAGGAAGAAAUAUAAACUCAGCAACUUAUCAUCACCAUCCUUGUCAGUAAUACAAGAUUUAUGUGAUAGCCAUAGUUUAAUUCUUUGACUAGCUCAUGAAUUUCUUGUGUUGUGACCAUUUAAUAAAAAUAAAUUAAACUGU